UUGUUUACUUGGCAGGGGAGAUAUCAUGAUCAUGAAGGUGGUUUUCCCAGGGCCAGGCUUAUCCAUUGCAUAAUUGGUGGUAGUGACAUAUUGUGUUCCUGCUCUCCCCUGUUAA
ensembl:snRNA U1 U1 spliceosomal RNA